AAGGAUUUAAGUUAAAAAAACUUUUAACCUUCAAAGUUAACUAUAGAUUUAAUCUAAGCCUUA
rnacentral:tRNA from 1 species